rnacentral:rRNA from 1 species
CCACUGUCUCCCCACCGCUAAAGAAAGAAAGAAAAAAGAGCCAUCGAUAAAGACAUGCCCGACGUUCUUUGCCUCGUGCCUCCCUCUUACACCUCACACAUCACCAAAUCUUAUCCUUCCACUGGCUCCCCACCGCUACUGGAAAAGGAGAAGAAAAAUAAAACGCCAGCAAAAGGCCGGCGCGGACCUCCGCCACCUACCACACAACAGCCAGCUGCUGCCGUCCUCGGUGCUCCCGGCGGUCGGCGAAGGCGACCCUGGGCAUGCUGCAGCUGCUGCUCCGGAGGAACGCUUACCUGGAGCAGGAGCUCGACCUUCGCUUCCGCCUCUUCCGCUCCUGGGACUCCCCUUCGCACCAACGCCUCCGCCAUCGGUGCCGUCGUUGGCAACGCCGAUGCCGCAUCGGCGCCGCCGUCCUUCUCCGUGGGGACCGACCGCGUAGACCUCCCAAGUGCCGGGAGCACCGAAUCCGCGUCACCAACACCCCCAACUUCCUCACCGACGACGUCGCCGGCCUCGCCAUCUCCGUGCCAAGGAAGACCACGCAUGCUGACCGUUACGUGCGCGCCGGCUUGUGGAAGGCAAGAGUGACUACGCAGCCACCACACGGGGAAGAAUUACAACUGCGUGUGGCCGGCUGGUUCAAGGGACGUUCAUGGUGGGCGCGGCGGCUCGUGUGCCGGGGUAGGCUCGUGUGCCGGGGCAGUGGCGAUCUCGCGGACGGAUAGUAGAAAAAAAGUUUGCUUCUCUUGUUAGCUUCGGUUUCGUUUCGGAGUUGUCAGGAUUCGUUCGACUACAUCCGUUUCUCUUCUUCAUGGACUCGUUCUUCUUACUUGCGGGAUCUCAGUUGCAGGUGCCGAUGAUACCAGUGCAGGUGACGCAAUCGAGCUCAAGUGGGAGUUUGACGAGGACCUUGGUCGUUACUAUGUUUUGUUUCCUGAUGAUCAGUAGUGGAGUCCAGUUGGGACGAUCGAGGAUCUAGCAUUUGGGGUUAUCUUCUUUUCAUUUGGUUUUGACUGUAGUCGGUCUACAUGUGUAUUUUGGAUGAUGUAGAAUUACUUAAGUAUUGUGUGAAGUGGCGAUUGUAAGCCAACCCUCUUUAUCUCUUUCUUGUUCAUUACAUGGGAUUGUGCGAAGAUGACCCUUCUUGCGACAAAACCACAAUGCGGUUAUGCCUCUAAGUCGUGCCUCGACACGUGGUAGAUAUAGCCGCAUCGUGAGUGUUACAAGUUGGUAUCAGAGCCAUCCCCGACUUAGGAGCCCCCUGCUUGAUCGAAUCACUAACGUUGUUGAGUCUAGAACAAAAAUGUAUUGAGUCUUAGGAUUAUAUAUAUCAGAGAGUAGGAUUCUUUUUACUCCUUAGUCCCUUCGUCGAUCUGGUGAGGCCUCCUGAGUAAAUGUUUUGACUUUCCUUUCCUCAAAUUUGACGAAAAAAAUUAGGAUCACGCGGGUAUAUUGGAAUGGUUCCGGUAUUCUUGCGACAAGAACAUUGUUCUUGGUGCCUCCUGACAUUUAGGGGUUGUGGCAGUGUCCUGGGGAGUUGAGCUCCGAGGUGUUGUUGUCACAAUUUUAUUGUUGCUGUUCUGGAAUACCUGAGUUCGCCGACAUCGAAAAUCUCUUUUAAGCAGUUGUUGGUGAGAUAACCUCGACGCCACCCAGUACUAGGGCAGGAGUUCGGGAGUAUUGCCAUAACUCGUAUAACAAAU